rnacentral:rRNA from 1 species
AUUCCCCUCUUUCUUCAUGCUUUACACAUGCAAGUCGAACGGCAGCGCGGGCUUCGGCCUGGCGGCGAGUGGCGAACGGGUGAGUAAUACAUCGGAACGUGCCCAGUAGUGGGGGAUAGCUCGGCGAAAGCCGGAUUAAUACCGCAUACGACCUGAGGGUGAAAGCGGGGGAUCUUCGGACCUCGCGCUAUUGGAGCGGCCGAUGGCAGAUUAGCUAGUUGGUGGGGUAAAGGCCUACCAAGGCGACGAUCUGUAGCUGGUCUGAGAGGACGACCAGCCACACUGGGACUGAGACACGGCCCAGACUCCUACGGGAGGCAGCAGUGGGGAAUUUUGGACAAUGGGCGAAAGCCUGAUCCAGCAAUGCCGCGUGUGUGAUGAAGGCCUUCGGGUUGUAAAGCACUUUUGGCGGGAACGAAAAGGACUGUGCCAAUACCACGGUUCGAUGACGGUACCCGCAGAAUAAGCACCGGCUAACUACGUG